rnacentral:rRNA from 1 species
ACGCUCGACACCUACGGAGGCAGCAGUGGGGAAUAUUGCACAAUGGGGGAAACCCUGAUGCAGCGACGCCGCGUGGAGGAAGAAGGUCUUCGGAUUGUAAACUCCUGUUGUUGGGGAAAAAGAGGAUGGUACCCAACAAGGAAGUGACGGCUAACUACGUGCCAGCAGCCGGCGGUAAUCUGAGCGGGCUGGCAAGGC